GAUGAACGCUGGCGGCGUGCCUAAUACAUGCAAGUCGAGCGAAUGGAUUAAGAGCUUGCUCUUAUGAAGUUAGCGGCGGACGGGUGAGUAACACGUGGGUAACCUGCCCAUAAGACUGGGAUAACUCCGGGAAACCGGGGCUAAUACCGGAUAACAUUUUGAACCGCAUGGUUCGAAAUUGAAAGGCGGCUUCGGCUGUCACUUAUGGAUGGACCCGCGUCGCAUUAGCUAGUUGGUGAGGUAACGGCGCACCAAGGCAACGAUGCGUAGCCGGCCUGAGAGGGUGAUCGGCCACACUGGGACUGAGACACGGCCCAGACUCCUCCGGGAGGCAGCAGUAGGGAAUCUUCCGCAAUGGACGAAAGUCUGACGGAGCAACGCCGCGUGAGUGAUGAAGGCUUUCGGGUCGUAAAACUCUGUUGUUAGGGAAGAACAAGUGCUAGUUGAAUAAGCUGGCACCUUGACGGUACCUAACCAGAAAGCCACGGCUAACUACGUGCCAGCAGCCGCGGUAA
rnacentral:rRNA from 1 species